rnacentral:rRNA from 1 species
AUUGACCGCUGGCGGCAGGCCUAACACAUGCACGUCGAGCGAGCGGCGGACGGGUGAGUAUUGUAUGGGGACUGCCCGAUAGAGGGGGAUAACUACUGGAAACGGUGGCUAAUACCGCAUACUAUCGGAUAACCCAUAUGGGAUUAGCUAGUAGGUGGGGUAAAGGCUCCCCUAGCCGACGAUCUCUAGCUGGUCUGAGAGGAUGAUCAGCCACACUGGGACUGAGACACGGCCCAGACUCCUACGGAGGCAGCAGUGGGGAAUAUUGCACAAUGGGCGCAAGCCUGAUGCAGCCAUGCCGCGUGUAUGAAGAAGGCCUUAGGGUUGUAAAGUACUUUCGGUAGCGAGGCGUUAACUACAGAAGAAGCACCGGCUAACUCCGUGCCAGCAGCCGCGGUAAUUC